GGCGAACGCUGGCGGCGUGCUUAACACAUGCAAGUCGAACGGAAAGGCCCUGCUUUUGUGGGGUGCUCGAGUGGCGAACGGGUGAGUAACACGUGAGUAACCUGCCCUUGACUUUGGGAUAACUUCAGGAAACUGAGGCUAAUACCGGAUAGGAGCUCCUGCUGCAUGGUGGGGGUUGGAAAGUUUCGGCGGUUGGGGAUGGACUCGCGGCUUAUCAGCUUGUUGGUGGGGUAGUGGCUUACCAAGGCUUUGACGGGUAGCCGGCCUGAGAGGGUGACCGGCCACAUUGGGACUGAGAUACGGCCCAGGCUCCUACGGGAGGCAGCAGUGGGGAAUAUUGCACAAUGGGCGGAAGCCUGAUGCAGCAACGCCGCGUGCGGGAUGACGGCCUUCGGGUUGUAAACCGCUUUCGCCUGUGACGAAGCGUGAGUGACGGUAAUGGGUAAAGAAGCACCGGCUAACUACGUG
rnacentral:rRNA from 1 species